CACACACACACACACACACACUGAGGGGAGGGAUCUCUCUCUCUCUCUCUCUCUCUCUCUCUUCUGAAGCUCAUAUCGAGUCGUUCACGGACAGCUGGAUUUUAGCGGAAUAAAAAUGAAACAUUGUAACAUCGUCAGACUGAAGAAUAUCGAAUCAUGUUCAUUUAAAGCGGGAAUUAUUCGACAGCUCGAUGAAGGACAAACUCACGGACCGACUGGAGUUUCCGCAUAAUAACGAUAAUAAAGGAUCAUGUGCAUUCCAUAGUAGCUUCUAUGGUGACUGACAUCACAGUCCCUUUCAGGGGCUCCGGUCAGCUGUUUCUGGCAUCCCAGACCAAGUCCUUUCUGUUUGAAUGGGGGAAUCCUGAAAUCUCAUAAACUCCUUGACAAACUCACAAUUAAAUAACAUAUUUCAAAUCAGCAACAAAAUCUGACAUGAAUUGUCCCAUAAAUGCUUCUGCAGUGACGCAAUGACUUUAUCAAUCAGCGAUUGGCUCUUUUACUCAGAAGGCGGGACGUAUUCCGCCAUGUUCUCCUCGUAACAAACACUGGAGACGGAUGGUGUGUGACGUCAUAACAAGUGUUUCGUAAAGUGGCUAAAUGUUUGAAAAUGGAUGCAUGCGAAUAUGCCCAUUUCAUUCAUGUACUCUGUUUUGCAAUUAAAAAUAAAGAAGUUAAUUAAAACA